UCUGGGACACUGUUGACCUAAGCUACUUUAGAAUGUUUGUGCAAUAGCUUUUGACCACUUGAUUAAAAAUGUCGUUUGAUGCUGGAGCGGCCGUGUCCUAGCAAGGGGCAGUUCAGACUGGUCUGAGCAGAGCAACAUGUUGCCGCAUGAAGGGAGGGCUCUUAUGAAGAGCUGCACCUUGACAGUUGAGGAUGAAUGCCAGACAGUGAAAUGGAAACAAGCAGUCUGAGAAUCCUCCCGGUGUGAAAACAUGACGAACAUCUCACAACACUGUACCAUCUGGGGGCCUGCAAUAAGCUCAAGUUGGAAAAAUGCCUGAGACGCAACCCCCACACUGAGUCUCCCUCUGCCUGAUCUCUGGUGCAUCCUCCCAGAUCAACCUAUCAGAAGACAUCCCUCUUCCACCACAACCCUCCAGUUACACCCAUUCACCAGUCCUCAGCAACUAACACCUCCUGAAUUACAAUAAA